CAAAGCUCUGGAGGAUCUCAUCAAGUCUGCUGAGACCAAAUGUCUUCAACCUGAAGCGUGAGUGUGGUUAAUGUAUGGCACUUUGCAUGAGCCCAAGAAAACAGAACCAGUCAGUGAAUGGCGUCAAGCCAGGGUCAACCAGCUGAGACGGAUUUACCUGCUGCACAGGUCACCGGAUCUACUGACUCUCAAGACUCCUGUACAGAGAGACUGUCUAGGCCCCAGUAAUGACUCUCAAAUCGUGGGCAAACAGGACGAAUGGGAGAAUGAGGUGGACAAGCUGGUGGCCUGGACUCACUCAUUGUCUUUCCAGGAGCUGGAGGGAGAGUGACUGCUUUACAUACCCCACCCCUAAGCUCAGAGAC